rnacentral:misc_RNA from 1 species
GGUUAUUUUCAUGCUGUUGUUGCCAUUUUAUAGCUUGCUACCCAUCUUGUUUAAUUAGGUGUUUAUGCACAUUACAAUAGAGUGAAAAGCUGGUUAUCAAAUCCGGUGUUCAAUUGCUUUUAAACAUGUGCAUGCAGAGUCAAACCUGAAGUGUUAUAUAAUAAAUUGAAAGAACACAAAAUACUUGAAUGUUACACUGGGCUUUCCUUAGUGAAAGUGAACAGCCCCAUAUAAAUCAUUUAGAGAGCAUACUGUUUGUUUCUACCAUUUCUCACGUCUAUGGAAAAUAAUAGAAAUAUAAAAAGAAAAAGAACAGGUUUUUUUCUAUGAAUCCCUUGGACCUUCAUAGCAGCCUCUGUAGUUCCUUGGAGCAUUGAUUUCUGAUAUUAAUUGUUUUAUGCAGGAAAAGCUGCCGCCUACAGAUU